AAUGCGAGCCCUAUUUAAUAGUCUAUAACUCGCCGUAUGCAGUCAAAUUUACCAUGAGAAAAAGGCAACGCAAUAGCUGAGGCAAUUGACAAAAUGCUUGUGCUUCUGCACAAAGGCAAGACUUUCAAAGUCAGGUCUCCGUAAUUCUCUCCGUCAUUCAGUUAUUCAGUCAAUCUGAAGUGUCCUUCACGAUUUUGCGCCCGAGAGGGUCGACUGCGUGCAUGCUA
rnacentral:lncRNA from 1 species